rnacentral:tRNA from 93 species
GGCGGAUGUCAGCGGUUCGAGUCCGCUUAUCUCCAA